rnacentral:rRNA from 2 species
UCGAAGCAACGCGAAGAACCUUACCAGGUCUUGACAUCUUUUGAUCACCUGAGAGAUCAGGUUUCCCCUUCGGGGGCAAAAUGACAGGUGGUGCAUGGUUGUCGUCAGCUCGUGUCGUGAGAUGUUGGGUUAAGUCCCGCAACGAGCGCAACCCUUAUGACUAGUUGCCAGCAUUUAGUUGGGCACUCUAGUAAGACUGCCGGUGACAAACCGGAGGAAGGUGGGGAUGACGUCAAAUCAUCAUGCCCCUUAUGACCUGGGCUACACACGUGCUACAAUGGAUGGUACAACGAGUUGCGAGACCGCGAGGUCAAGCUAAUCUCUUAAAGCCAUUCUCAGUUCGGACUGUAGGCUGCAACUCGCCUACACGAAGUCGGAAUCGCUAGUAAUCGCGGAUCAGCACGCCGCGGUGAAUACGUUCCCGGGCCUUGUACACACCGCCCGUCACACCAUGAGAGUUUGUAACACCCGAAGCCGGUGGCGUAACCC